CUCGUCAGCUCUCUCUGAGCUGUGCUCUGUGUUGCAGGCGUACCGCUGGAUGAUCGACUCUCGUGAUGAUUACACUGAGGAGAGGCUCUCCCAGCUCCAGGACCCCUUCUCUCUGUACCGCUGUCACACCAUCAUGAACUGCACCAGAACCUGCCCGAAGGGUUUGAAUCCAGGCUUAGCCAUCGCCGAGAUCAAGAAGAUGAUGGCCACCUACAAAGAGAAGAAGACGGCGUCGGCGUGAACGUCUCGCUUAAAUGAA